GGAGAAGGAAGAUUGGAGGAGGAAGGCGACGUUACUCUUUGGACUCUCGACGCUUAUUUACAAUCGAAACAAAUAGAAAUCGAAAUACAAUUGCAAGCAAAUUCGAAUCGAAGGGAAUAUAACACUGUGGCAUCGAAUCUGCUUGAUGGACGAUGGCCAGUAUCCAGUAUCUGAAGUUGAAGCGAUGGAACCUAAUCUGAAUUUGAGUCGAUGGAGAGGGAAGGGGAAGGCAAGAUCAGCCACAGAAAUCAGAAGUUCAAUCAACUUGUUGUCAACUGAUGGUACCCAGCAUUAUUCGUCUCCUCCAGAUGUUACUGUCUGAAUGGAGGGUCGGAUCAUAUGGAUUGUGUUUUAUUUCGCUCCCUCGCGUUUAAUUCAAUUUCAAUGGUGAUACUAAUUUACAGAGCGGUCGAAAGCAGUUUAAGUCCACCCCGA